rnacentral:lncRNA from 1 species
GCCCCUCUCUUCAGCCUCUGGGAUUGGCUGUAUACAGUUGGUCCUCUGUGACCCUGGAAUCGCCACCCGCAUUCUCCGCCUCUCUGACCACCUGACCCAUGCCACACUGGUACACACUCGACCCCCAUGUCAGCCAGUCCGCCCACCCUGGGGCCUCUGCCAUCUACCAAGGAUUCUGGGUUGAGUCACCCCAUGAGUAGGUGUUUGCUGAGAAAAUGGGACUGGAGACAUGAUGGAACUGUCCCAUCUCCCUUCUACCAGAGAGCUUCCCUCUCGACCCAAAUAAUGUGGAGGAGCCGGUGACUGAGGAAGAGGAGGAAAUUCUGUUGAGAGACCGUCUCAGAGAGAGGGCCGAGUCAAGAGCAAUAGACCAUGAUGGAGCAUGUCUUUAUCAAGGACCUAAACACACUAUAUUGACACUUCAGAUUUCUAUAAAGGCUUUACUUAAACCUUCUAAAAUCAUGUUUUACUUGUUGGGAUCAGGAAGUAGGAUCCCAAAAUAGAGAUAACCUGAUUCUUGUUUUUCCAGGCCAAACUUCCAAAAGGAAUAGAGAAUGUGAGGCCACAUCUGGAGAAGACUGAUAAUGUUCCAUUGCUGGUCCCUUUAUUUACAGACUGCACAUCACAGACACUGCUUUAGAUCCUCUGGUUCCCACAUGUUGUUGGACCACUUCUGAUGCAGCUGAUGGAACUUCGAACACUUCAGACUCUUUGAGUGUAAUUCAGCUCUCUAGUGCCAUCUGUGGGUUGGCCUGCACAGUACAGUUUAACCAACAAGACAACAACACUGUCAUCAGACUCAUCAAACAGGCACGUCACACCAAAGCAAGUUUUUUUCUGUUUUUGAUCCAGUGUCAGCUGUCCCUUGUCCCAUUCAGAUUCUGGCAUGUGUGUGUCAACUUCCUCCUCCUCUGGGCACAAGUGAUGUCCUCUUUCUGUCCAGUUUCUAUUUUCCCUAACUGAGGUAUAUAUGAAUAUAAUAAACAAUAAUACGAAUUCAAAAACAUACACAAAAUUACCAAAAGUAAAUAAUCAAUGCAAAAAUGGGUCCUGCACAUUUAGGUUAGUGUU